AGGCUUUGGGAGGUUUAAAUAAGCGUUUUGUCGUCCAGUGACCCUUAAUGAAAGAUUCUGGUGGCAGUGUGCCGACAGAGUCAGGUCAGAGAGAGAAGACAGGCGGAGGUUAGUCUGGAUACACUGUCCUUGUCUCUGGGGGGAGUCUCUUUUUUUUCUACAGACAAAAGCAGCAAAAUGAGAAGCGAGUGCAGCAGGUUUGUCCAGUGAAAGCCGAGAGAGAAGAGGACAUGUAGUGACUAACACCAGAGAACAGGAGGUGGGUCAGGAGGAGAGGAGGUCAGAGCGCGGCGGAGUAAUGAGCACGAAGCUGCGGGGAAGAGAGGACAAAGUGCUGCAGUCCUACAGACGUGUGUCAAGAGAGUUCUCGUUCCACUCCACGGUCUCAAAUCUUUAUUGUGUGUUUCUUGUUAACAGUAACGCAGAAGCACCGAAGAACCCUUGAUAUGGCAAUGGAGCAUAUUUCAACCAGCCAGUAGAGGGCGACUGAUAUCAGAUUUUUGGGGCGGUUAUGAUGCAGAUUAUUAAUGGUUCAUGUUACCGAUCUAAACAUUCAUUUAUCAUAAGAUUCAGGUAGGGCUGAAAUGAUUCCUCAAGUACCUCGUUUACAAAUAACGAUCAAGGAAUUUUCAAGUACUCCUUUAAAAGCGCAAAUCGUCACUUUUUCACACAAAUUAUUUUCAAGGUGACACAACUCGCUUACGUCAACACGGUAGAAGGAGGAGAAAGCGCGUUUUUGAUAAAAAAUAUAUAUAAUAUAUAUAUACACUGCAGAUAUCUACAGUAUACAAUAAACUGUAGAUAUACUGUAGGUUACUGCUUUUCACGCUGACAGGAUAAGUCAGGGAACUUUUCAAACAUUUUCGAAGUGAAACCGAAUCUUAUUCUUAGCAUUUUAUUUCUGAAAAUAUCAGUUAGUCUCAAACGAGCUAAAAUUGGCUGAUUUAAUUGACUCGCCGAUAAAUCAGUCAGGCCCUACUCUGCACACUCCUCUUCAUGCUAGCAUGCAGCCUAACAUUAUCGGUAGUAGCAGAAGCAAGUAACAAAGAAGCUAUUCAACUCUCGGACACUAAUUUCUUUGGGGACAUGAUGAAAGUUAAUAUUUCAAUUAGCUUUCUUACGAGGAUUGCAAUCUGCUACCACACACGCUUGUUCCACGAUAAUUACACUUAAACUAGAAACUUGUCUGAUUACUUGAUUAAUCGAUGGAAUAUUUGGUAGAAUACUCAAUCACUAAAAUAUUCGAUAGCUGCAGCCCUAGAUUCAGGCCACCCGAGUACAUUUUCAUUUACGUCUUUAUAGCCGCUCAGAUCGCCAUCAGUGAUACAGUAACUCGCUCUGCAUCCCUCACUGUAAGAUUAUUCAGGAAGUGUAUAACAUUUCUGCGGAGAUACAGUCUUCAUAUUUCAAAGAAACACAUCCGAGAGGGUGCUUUUGUGUAUUUACAGCAGCACCUUGUCAGAUCAAGUUGUGUUGUGUUUUCUGCCCUAUUUAGAUAAAUAGCAGGUUUGUUUGUUUGUCUUCAAGCAGGUCUUCAGUUGUAAAAAUAGGGCCUGAGGCUCUUGCUGUAUAGCUGCACCUAUAAUCUACAAUUAUAAGGUGUGUAUAAUAAUAGAUUACAGUGCGAUCUACUGAAAGAGGAAGAAUUUCUAUCUUUGCAAAGACUUGCUGAGAUAACAAGGUGCAUCACAGCAUCUAUUCUUCUAGUACAAAGACAGGAAGUAGACCUCAGACUCUCAUGCUCUGAUUUUUUCUGCAGUGAAAGGAGCCGGCGGGCCACCACGCGGUGUGCAACAUCGGCUAUUGUGAGAAAUCAGCAGUGUGACAAUCAGUGAGCUGUGUGCAGGCAGCACUGCCACAGGACCCGCGCAUACACAGCUGCAGGACACUUGUUUCCCAGAGUUCACGGCGGCAAAGGGUGCAGAGGGGACAGUCGUGACAGACUGCUGAGGAGGGAGAAAGAGAACAGAUGGAUGUGCGGUGUCCUUGUGUUUGAGGAUGUCUUUCCUCACGGCUAUGCUGCAUAUUUGUCACAUGUUCAACGCACACAGAGCCGGAACGGGCAUCAUUAACCUAAAUUACAAUGUUCGGGGAUUUUGGGGCGUGAUUGGCCAGCAUCAGGACAGCUGGUCAACUCCAGAACGACCCGCUGAGAAUCUCAAUAUAACUCUAAUACUUAACAUGUGUUAACAUGGGGGCGAACACUUAAGAGCUGAUUGCUUUGCUGUGGGCUGUGCUGGAGUUAGCAGCUGCAAAAUACUUAUAAAAGGACCAAAACACACGUUAAUCUACACCCAGGUCAGCCGGUCUUUUGUUCAGUUUUGUAUGAAUCUAGAAAGUGUUCGUUUGUGUGUGUGUGUGAGGACUGAAUAGACUGGCAGGGUGCUGCUUAUGUCAUUUACUUGAUUGGUCAUUGCAAAGAGCCAAAACACUGUGGUGCGAAAUAACAUUCCCCUUACAGCCGGCUCACAUUCAUUCACAGUUGUGCGGUGAUUAAAGUCGUGAAAAGAUCUAAUUUGUGUAACCUUGAUUUUGGUACGAUGAUUCAUAAGAGCUACGCUGGAGGAGACUAUCGCUGAGCGAGACAAGAGGCCAAGGCUGCAGUAAAUACGUCCAUAUAAUAGAAACUGAACCCAAUGAGCAAUCUUAACCCAGUGAAUGUCGUUUUGUUGGAAAAACUGUUUUUAAAUGUUAAUUUUGAUGGAUAUCGACGGUUGUAUUCUCUCAGUUUACACAGUUUAAGAGUCUUAACAUGUACAAACCAGAAGUUACAUUAAAAUGAAUAUUAUAUGCUUUAGUACACCUUGAAGCCAAAAGAUCUAGAGCUCCCCCUAGUGAUAGGCUGCAGUAUCUGUUUUUUAACCCAGCUCACGUCUUGGAAAACAGAACCUGAGUGUCGGCACCAGUGGAGACUUGAGAGAAAUGGAGAGGGGUCUGGCUGCAGACCUCCACUGUGAGGACCCGAGGUGACGUUAUUUAUCACGCGUUUCAGUUUAUUUGAAGUGGUUAUCCUGUUUUGUAUUUGAUCAUUAUUGAACACAUAAAUACACAAAAAAAUAUAUUAACACUAUAUAAAUAAAACAAAGCUCCAAGAAAAAAUAUAUUCACACGAGAUAAAAAAAUAUAUAUAGAUACUUCCUCGCUUUUAUUUUGAAAGGCUUCAAAUCAACUUUUGGUCCGCUCAGUGGAGGUGGGUCCUCAGAGUGGAGGUCUGCAGUCAGACUGUCUUGUAGAAAUGAGGUGAGGUUGUUUAUUCUAUAUCCAGCCAAUGGUAUAAACACACAACAGCUGCUUUUUGUGAUUGUGAACACAACCAAGACUGAAUGUUUUUAAUGUGAGUCAGUCAAGUCUGUACCUGUUUACAGACGAGGAGACAAAAUAAGCUGCUGGGAUGGAAGAACCAGACUUGACUGUCAACGGCAGCUAUCUAGGCAACAAAUAUUCAAUGCUGGAAACCAUCGUCUGUAUUUGAAGAUGAACAACACAUCAACACCUCCUUCUCCUUCUGUAUAAAAGUGAUGUUAACUUAACUCCCUUUCACUGCAUUCAGCAAUGUGCACUUUACAUGUAGAUGUGUAGCUCUCUCUUGCACCGUCUAUUAUCACCACCCUGCCAGCUACCUCUAACUGCCUCUCUACACACCAAGCACAAGUAAAAUCAUUCGCACGCAUAAGUUACAUGUUAAGUCAACUCAAAGACGCGAUUAGACGCUUGUGCUACUCUGGCGGCGAGAAUGACGCAAAUUGGGCGAGAGCUGGAAAUGUCUCAAGUUGAGCGGAUAUUCGUGUCACGAUAAUGUGAGUCAAAAAAAAAAACUUUGUCUAUCACUUGAUCCCGUUGGUUGAAUUGGCAGGGAUUACCAUUAAAAUUACCAUUGACGCUCGAAUGAAGCAAGUGAACACCAUUCAUUCACGUCCAGAUUCACACGAAUUAAGCAAGUAGAUAAUUUUACUCUGUGUGAGCGCUUCUUCAGGUAGUAUGGUAGGUAAGCACAGCCUACAACAGCACUAAGAAAAGUGACUCUGAGGUCCACAUGAAUGCAGGAUUAUUAAACCACACCCUAGAAUAUAACUUUGUGUUAUUUUCAAGUAUUUUUUUUAUACCUAACACUUGGCUCUUUCUUUCUUUCUUGGCUGAGGAAACAAGUGAGAUGCUCUCUCCUCGAUUCACGCUGUUAACAGUUUCCACAUUUUGUUCAAACUGAUGCAGACAAUGCAACUGCAUAGCAUAAUAAACAGCUUUUAAAGAUGAACGUGUUUACAGUGAAGCUAUUUCCACACAGGAUGCUGCCCGCAGGGGUCGUCUGUCUGUCUAGAUGGAGAUAAAUGGCCGUUGUUGCACAGAGAGAGGCGGGCUGCUGACUGAUAAAGGCUGUGUUUGGGAUGAAGCUCAGCUGUUAGUGUUUACUUUAAUUGUCCUGUAAUCACCAGGUUUCCGGGGAAAGGGGGGGCCUCCUGCCGAGCUGCACCUGGACCCCGCUCCAGACCGAUUAUACCGUUGGUGGAGGUGAUUCCCAACCCUGACUUAUUCUGGUCGAAACACACCAGGAAGCAGCAGAGGGAAAAAGGACAGCGACAGAGGAGAGAAAGUGUGUUGACAGAUGUGUCUGCAGGAGAAAGACAACUAAAGGAAGGGAAACAGGAAAGAGAAGGUAUAAAAGUCUUUAUGUAUGCGGAACACCAGCAGAGGAAAAGAUGUCAUAAAAUAUAAAUUGACUGCAUAAUUGCCGUUGCCACAUGUUGCAAUUUAACAUCAAUAAAUCAUUACAAGAAUAAUUUAAGAUGUCAGUAUAAUUACACUAAACAAACUGGUCUAUCAUUACUGAGAAUUAGCAGCAUAUAACAGCCUCUGUUUCAGUGCACCAAGGUGAGAUGGAAAUAAGUAAGCUAUAUAGAUUUAUGUGACAGUUAAUAAAAAAAAAAAAAGUUACUUCUCACUCUAGAAACAAGCAGAAAGUGGUAGAAAAAACACUAACUUGGUAUGCUAGCAGAGUGGCGCUAUGGUGGCGACGUUGGACUUUAGGUUAUCCUCUUAAAACGGCCAAAAAAAUGUUCACUGAAGCGGCAAAUGACUGGACUACAGUUAGGAAUGGGCAUGAUUACGCGAUGAUCAAUUAAUUGAUUGUUGAGAAAACUGCGAUCAAUCUAACGUAAUUAAAAAAAGGGCUGACAGCGUGCGUCCAUCCUUCCAAGUGCUUUCCAGCAAAGAUAAACUUCUGCUGAUCGGGAUUCAGUGACUAUCACCGCGCAGAGGGAUUUUGACAUUUUACAAGGAGAGUGUCAGCAGGCUUUUGUAGAAGUCAGAAAAAACAUGAAGAAACCGAGACGAAGUGCGGCGUGGGACCAUUUCCCGCAGAAAUAUGUUGCGGUUCGGUUGCAAACACUGCGCUGAUGUGUACAAGUAAAACACAACGACGACGACCCCAAUGAUAGACCACCUGAACCACCCUCCGAGUGCUCUCAAUCUCAAUUUACCAUCAGCACUUUGCUAGUAAAGGGGAACUGUAGGGUGACCAGGCGUCCCUGAUUUCAGGGGACAGCCCCCGUUCUAGAUGACCUGUCCUUCAGCUAAAGUUGUCCGCAGGAAUGCCCACGAUUUUAGAGUUUCAUGAAUGAGAAAAAAACGGUAGUCAGUUCUGAGGAAAACCACGUUUUUGGAGGUAUUUUCUGCCAUUCACAUAAACAAACGAUCAAAUUGACGAUUGAUCAUUAAUUUCUAUGAUUAUUCAAUCAAGGGAUUUUAUCAAAAUUCCCAUUCCUAACUAGAAUUACUGCAAAGAAGGAAGGACAGCUGGAGUACAGAGCAGCUGAGGCAGAACUUAGCAGUAUAAAGGGUAUGAGAAAGAGCUACAUGGUUGCACAAAAACUGCACACUGCAGACUUUGCUGAGCGCAGAUAAAGUUACCACACAGGAAUACAGUAAAGUAUUAUUACUUCACACACAAUGGCACUCAAAGAAAGACAGUGGGUUGGCAAAGUCUGCAGAUUUUCUCACCGAGAUCUUUAAGUCUGAACUGAAGUCGGUGA